rnacentral:rRNA from 1 species
UACGUAGGCAGCAAGCGUUGUUCGGAAUUACUGGGCGUAAAGAGUGCGUAGGCGGUGCUCUAAGUCUGUUGUGAAAUCUCCCGGCUUAACUGGGAGGGUGCGGCGGAAACUGGAGUGCUUGAGGGUGGGAGAGGUAAGCGGAAUUCCUGGUGUAGCGGUGAAAUGCGCAGAUAUCAGGAGGAACACCAAUUGCGAAGGCAGCUCGCUGGGACGUGACUGACGCUGAGACGCGAAAGCGUGGGGAGCAAACAGG